rnacentral:lncRNA from 1 species
ACUUUCCCGGAGGUAGAACUCGUUUUGGGCCAUGAUUUUUUGGGAAUAGCUUCUCUCUUCUGUUGUGAUUACCUGUGCGAAUUUUGGGAACAAUUCAUGAAGUUUUGGUCAAGAUAUCUUUGAUUUUUGGCUCGUUGUUCUUGCUGUUCGCAGAGCUCGUAGCGCUCAGUUCUUCGUGCUCCUCGUGUGCAGUCCCGCGUCGUUCGUCUCACUCUCUCCAAAUCGGCUCUGUUGGUCAUCACCGUCUUCGGCCCGAGCAAAUCAGCACAGCUGCGUGCUUGCCUUUUGGUAGGCUACUCGUCGAGCCUGAGCCCAGACUGAGCAGGCUUGGCCGCUCGUCCUUCCUGCUGUGUGUGCUCAUCAGUAGCCGAGCUAGCUUUGUUCUCUGUGUUCGUUGGUGUGUGGAUUGUUCUCCAGGGAAAGCUCUGUUAAAUCUCCUUCUCUGCAGUGUUUAGUUUGCAAGUAAAUCAGCACCUGUGCACCUUCGGUCAGAAGCCAGGAUCAGUGCGUUCAUUUCUUUCUGUCGCUGAGCAUUUUUUUUUAUUUUGCCAAGGUUGCUUCUUGCAUCUCUUGGUAGUGUCCAGCUCUUACCUUGCUUUGAUUUCCCUAAGCACAGUUU